ACACUUCACAUUAACGCGAGCGCGCCUAUAUAGGGUCUGCUCGCUUCGGCGGGCUAUGGCGAUAAAUUGCGGUGUGCAAUAGGCACAGCGGACCCGGGGGCAGUACCCGGCGGCUCCACCACAAAGGGCGGUUUUCCGCCAUUUGUGAAGGGGCCGAACCAGGAUCGACGUGUGUUGAAAGACACUGUUUUCGCCCGGGCUGAGUAACCCGUUCAAGGCUCAAAACACACAAGUGCCAACGAUAACGAAGCACUCGCAAUCGCUGCGUAACCUGACGGCCUAACGGCCUGAUCUUACAAAGCUAAAGCGCGGUUGGACCCACCGGGCAACAGAAGCGGAUUCCG
rnacentral:tmRNA from 1 species